rnacentral:rRNA from 1 species
CGUGGGUAACCUGCCCAAGAGACUGGGAUAACACCUGGAAACAGAUGCUAAUACCGGAUAACAACACUAGACGCAUGUCUAGAGUUUAAAAGAUGGUUCUGCUAUCACUCUUGGAUGGACCUGCGGUGCAUUAGCUAGUUGGUAAGGUAACGGCUUACCAAGGCAAUGAUGCAUAGCCGAGUUGAGAGACUGAUCGGCCACAUUGGGACUGAGACACGGUCCAAACUCCUACGGGAGGCAGCAGGU